GGAAGAUCUGAGUUUAAAUUCAGCCUCAGUCACUCACUGGGUUCAGCCUUACAGCUGGAGCAAGCCUCAGCAAACUUGAGAGGUUUGUCUUCCAUAAACCCAGCCUCCACCUUCCGUGCCCUUCCUCUUGUCUUGGCAGACCCAGACAGAAGAGCUACUGCAGCAUCCGCCCUAGCCUGCCUUCACCAGGCAAUGUUCCAGACUCUAGCCCUUGCAUUUCCUUCCUGGUCUCUCCAGAAUGACUCUCAAUAAUUUCCUUGAAGAGUCAGACCAACUCCACCAAGCAGGAAGAGGCUCAUCAAAGUUUGACCUAAGAAACUCAUCCAGACUUUCAGCUAAAGCAUGGAGGGAUUGGACUGAGCAUCACUGCUGAAAGGAGGAGCCAGAUGGCUGGCUUACCUGGCCCCUGGAGGAAAGAAAAGAAGUGAUGAAGAGUGUGGAAGGCUUCUGCAAGUGGUGAUCACUUCAGAGCAGGCGCACAGUAUUCCUUGGGGGAAGAGGGGGGAAAACAUAGACAAUUUAAUUGGGUAAGGAAAAAAUCUUUUUUAAAAAAGUGGAGCAAAAAGUCUCUCCACCAAGUGAAGGAAUAACUUUAGUUCCUUGUGUCAACCCCAUUUGGGGAAUAGGAGAUCCCCCUCCCUAUUUAAAUAAGCCAUCCCCAGGGAAGAAGCCAAUCAGGAGGCAGGAAAGCUAAUGCCAGGCCCUUCCGUUCCCCUGGAACUCCCUGUAGCACUCCUGUUAAAGGGUCAGAGGCUCUUUUAAACUGUUGCUUUCUCCAUCCAACCUAGUGGGCUAAAGCUCCCCACCUCCCUGCGUCUCACCCUAAUGUCGGCCCCUCUGGUCAGUUAUUAACCUAACAACUACUAGGCACCCAUGGCAGCAGCUGUGGAAUUUCAAGGGGGAAAAUGCACGCUCCCCACCCCCACCCCAGCCCACCCUGCUCCUCAGAUCAGCUGCAAUAGGAACUGCCACAGGUGCCCCUGAAGAGUGGUCUCUGCCCUCCAGGGCAGUGAACCAAGGAGAGGUCCCUCCCUGCCCCUUCUUUGGGAUGGGACAGAGUGAGUGCCACAGGGUGGGCAGGCAUGGAUGGGCUGUGAUGUCCCUCUCAGGAUUUCGUUACACCCUCUUUUUCCCCAAAAUCCACCUUCGGUUCUUCUGAACUUCGUUAUUUGUCUCCAGGGCACCACUGUUCUUCCAGUCACCCGGGUUGGCAAUUUCUCACCUAUCCCAUAUAGCCAAUCAGUUAUCAGCUCUUGUCAUUUCUUCCUCAGCCAUAUCUCUUCCAUCUAUCUAUCUAUCUAUCUAUCUAUCUAUCUAUC